rnacentral:tRNA from 1 species
GCCUUCGUGGUGUAGUGGUCAGCAUGCUGGAGGCAUAUUCCAGAGGUCCGUGGUUCGAAUCCCGGAGAAGGUG